GACCAGACUCCUACGGGAGGCAGCAGUGGGGAAUAUUGCACAAUGGGGGAAACCCUGAUGCAGCGACGCCGCGUGAGCGAUGAAGUAUUUCGGUAUGUAAAGCUCUAUCAGCAGGGAAGAAAAUGACGGUACCUGACUAAGAAGCCCCGGCUAACUACGUGCCAGCAGCCGCGGUAAUACGUAGGGGGCAAGUGUUAUCCGGAUUUACUGGGUGUAAAGGGGGCGCAGACGGCGAUGCAAGCCAGGAGUGAAAGCCCGGGGCCCAACCCCGGGACUGCUCUUGGAACUGCGUGGCUGGAGUGCAGGAGGGGCAGGCGGAAUUCCUGGUGUAGCGGUGAAAUGCGUAGAUAUCAGGAGGAACACCGGUGGCGAAGGCGGCCUGCUGGACUGCAACUGACGUUGAGGCCCGAAAGCGUGGGGAGCAAACAGGAUUAGAUACCCCGGUAGC
rnacentral:rRNA from 1 species